rnacentral:misc_RNA from 1 species
GAUGAAGAACGUAGCGAAAUGCGAUAAGUAAUGUGAAUUGCAGAAUUCAGUGAAUCAUCGAAUCUUUGAACGCACAUUGCGCCCGCCAGUAUUCUGGCGGGCAUGCCUGUUCGAGCGUCAUUUCAACCAUCAAGCCCCCGGCUUGUGUUGGGGACCUGCGGCUGCCGCAGGCCCUGAAAACCAGUGGCGGGCUCGCUAGUCACUCCGAGCGUAGUAAUACAUCUCGCUCAGGGCGUGCUGCGGGUUCCGGCCGUUAAAAAAGCCUUAUUUACCCAAGGUUGACCUCGGAUCAGGUAGGAAGACCCGCUGAACUUAAGCAUAUCAAUAAGCGUAGGA